rnacentral:rRNA from 1 species
UACGGAAGGCAGCAGUGGGGAAUAUUGCACAAUGGGCGCAAGCCUGAUGCAGCCAUGCCGCGUGUAUGAAGAAGGCCUUCGGGUUGUAAAGUACUUUCAGUCGUGAGGAAGGUGUUAAGGUUAAUAACCUUAGCAAUUGACGUUAGCGACAGAAGAAGCACCGGCUAACUCCGUGCCAGCAGCCGCGGUAAUACGGAGGGUGCGAGCGUUAAUCGGAAUUACUGGGCGUAAAGGGCACGCAGGCGGUUAAUUAAGUUGGAUGUGAAAUCCCCCGGGCUUAACCUGGGAAUGGCAUUCAAGACUGGUUAGCUAGAGUCUUGUAGAGGGGGUAGAAUUCCAUGUGUAGCGGUGAAAUGCGUAGAGAUGUGGAGGAAUACCGGUGGCGAAGGCGGCCCCUGGGACAAAGACUGACGCUCAUGUGCGAAAGCGUGGGGAGCAAACAGGAUUAGAUACC